CAGAGUUUGCCCUUGCGGGUAGAUCUCCCACCCUGUGUUGUCGCUACCUUUGUUGCUUUGGCGGGCCGCCUGGCCCCGGCCUGGCUACCGGCCCCCGCUGGUAAGCGCCCGCCAGAGGACCCCAAACUCUGAAUGUUAGUGUCGUCUGAGUACUAUACAAUAGUUA
rnacentral:misc_RNA from 1 species